rnacentral:rRNA from 1 species
AAAAGCUCGUAGUUGGAUUUCUGGUGUGGUGCGCCUGGCCCGGUCCCAAGUGGAUUGCGUGCCGGCGUGCACCGACCAUCCUUCAGGAGAACAGCUCUGCCAUUAAUUUGGUUGGGGUUGGGAUCCUGAUCGUUUACUUUGAGAAAAUUAGAGUGUUUAAGGCAGGCUUAUGCCGUGAAUAGUACAGCAUGGAAUAAUAAGAUAGGACUUCGUGUGCUAUUUUGUUGGUUUCUAGCUGCGCGAAGUAAUGAUUGAUAGGGAUCGUUGGGGGUGCUAGUAUUAAACGGCCAGAGGUGAAAUUCUUGGAUUCGUUUAAGACUAACUUCUGCGAAAGCAUUCGCCAAGGAGGUCUUCUUUAAUCAAGAACGAAAGUUGGGGGAUCGAAGACGAUCAGAUACCGUCGUAGUCUCAACCAUAAACUAUGCCGACUAGGGAUUGGCCGACGUUGAAUAGGACUCGGUCAGCACCUUAUGAGAAAUCAAAGUCUUUGGGUUCCGGGGGGAGUAUGGUCGCAAGGCUGAAACUUAAAGGAAUUGACGGAAGGGCACCACCAGGCGUGGAGCUUGCGGCUUAAUUUGACUCAACACGGGAAAACU